rnacentral:rRNA from 1 species
CCUACGGGUGGCAGCAGUGAGGAAUAUUGGUCAAUGGACGGAAGUCUGAACCAGCCAUGCCGCGUGCGGGAAGACGGCUCUCUGAGUUGUAAACUGCUUUUGUACAAGGGUAAACCUGAAUACGUGUAUUCUGCUGAAAGUACUGUACGAUUAAGGAUCGGCUAACUCCGUGCCAGCAGCCGCGGUAAUACGGAGGAUCCAAUCGUUAUCCGGCUUUAUUGGGGUUAAAGGGUGGGUAGGCGGAUUAGUAAGUUAGAGGUGAAAUGGCCGAGCUUAAAUCGGAAACUGCCUCGAAUACUGUUGAACUAGAGAGUAGAUGCGGGAGGCGGAAUGUAAGGUGUAGCGGUAAAAUGCUUAGAGAUAAUACAGAACACCGAUUGCGAAGGCAGCUUACCAAUCUAUAUCUGACGUUGAGGCACGAAAGCGUGGGGAGCAAACAGGAUUAGAUACCCGGGUAGUC